GAAAGUAUGGGUAGCAAACAGGAUUAGAUACCCUGGUAGUCCAUACCGUAAACGAUGAAUGCUAAGUGUGGGAGGGUUUCCGCCCUUCAGUGCUGCAGCUAACGCAUUAAGCAUUCCGCCUGGGGAGUACGGCCGCAAGGCUGAAACUCAAAGGAAUUGACGGGGGCCCGCACAAGCGGUGGAGCAUGUGGUUUAAUUCGAAGCUACGCGAAGAACCUUACCAGGUCUUGACAUACUAUGCAAAUCUAAGAGAUUAGACGUUCCCUUCGGGGACAUGGAUACAGGUGGUGCAUGGUUGUCGUCAGCUCGUGUCGUGAGAUGUUGGGUUAAGUCCCGCAACGAGCGCAACCCUUAUUAUCAGUUGCCAGCAUUAAGUUGGGCACUCUGGUGAGACUGCCGGUGACAAACCGGAGGAAGGUGGGGAUGACGUCAAAUCAUCAUGCCCCUUAUGACCUGGGCUACACACGUGCUACAAUGGAUGGUACAACGAGUUGCGAACUCGCGAGAGUAAGCUAAUCUCUUAAAGCCAUUCUCAGUUCGGAUUGUAGGCUGCAACUCGCCUACAUGAAGUCGGAAUCGCUAGUAAUCGCGGAUCAGCAUGCCGCGGUGAAUACGUUCCCGGGCCUUGUACACACCGCCCGUCACACCAUGAGAGUUUGUAACACCCAAAGUCGGUGGGGUAACCUCUUAGAACCAGC
rnacentral:rRNA from 1 species